AGUUCGUGGAGUGAUCUGUCUGCUUAAUUGCGUUUCACUAAGGGCUUAAAAUUAUGUGCUUUAAUAUUGACCCCUCAAUUUUUAAUUGAGUGUGUUGUCUUUAUUGGUACUUCUAAGCUCUGAAAGCAACGAACGUGACCGCAACCCUUUGUUGCCUUUACUAAAAUUUUAUUUUUUUUAUAAAAUAUAAUUAAAAAAGGCUUUUUAAACUAGGGGGACCGCUGUAAUCUUUUUAAACCAGAGGAAGGUUGCGGCAAUAACAGG
rnacentral:rRNA from 1 species